rnacentral:rRNA from 1 species
CCUACGGGUUGCAGCAGUGGGGAAUAUUGGACAAUGGGCGAAAGCCUGAUCCAGCCAUGCCGCGUGUGUGAAGAAGGCCUUCGGGUUGUAAAGCACUUUCAGUGGGGAAGAAAGCCUUGGGGCUAAUACCCUCGAGGAAGGACAUCACCCACAGAAGAAGCACCGGCUAACUCCGUGCCAGCAGCCGCGGUAAUACGGAGGGUGCGAGCGUUAAUCGGAAUUACUGGGCGUAAAGCGCGCGUAGGCGGUCUGAUAAGCCGGUUGUGAAAGCCCCGGGCUCAACCUGGGAACGGCAUCCGGAACUGUCAGGCUAGAGUGCAGGAGAGGAAGGUAGAAUUCCCGGUGUAGCGGUGAAAUGCGUAGAGAUCGGGAGGAAUACCAGUGGCGAAGGCGGCCUUCUGGACUGACACUGACGCUGAGGUGCGAAAGCGUGGGUAGCAAACAGGAUUAGAUACCCGGGUAGUC